rnacentral:rRNA from 1 species
GAUGAACGCUGGCGGCGUGCCUAAUACAUGCAAGUCGAGCGAACGGACGAGAAGCUUGCUUUUCUGAUGUUAGCGGCGGACGGGUGAGUAACACGUGGAUAACCUACCUAUAAGACUGGGAUAACUUCGGGAAACCGGAGCUAAUACCGGAUAAUAUUUUGAACCGCAUGGUUCAAAAGUGAAAGACGGUCUUGCUGUCACUUAUAGAUGGAUCCGCGCUGCAUUAGCUAGUUGGUAAGGUAACGGCUUACCAAGGCAACGAUGCAUAGCCGACCUGAGAGGGGGAUCGGCCACACUGGAACUGAGACACGGUCCAGACUCCUACGGGAGGCAGCAGUAGGGAAUCUGCCGCAAUGGGCGAAAGCCUGACGGAGCAACGCCGCGUGAGUGAUGAAGGUCUUCGGAUCGUAAAACUCUGUUAUUAGGGAAGAACAUAUGUGUAAGUAACUGUGCACAGCGUGACGGUACCUAAUCAGAAAGCCACGGCUAACUACGUG